CCUCUAAUGAAAUAUACCUCUCAUUUCUUAGUUUUUUUUAAUCUGCCAUCUGCUUUCCAUUUUAUCCCCAAUGAAAGUAAAAAAUUACUCUAUUUUCCUUUCUUCAUUCCUUCAGUCCGAGAAACUCAGAGUCUUAAGUUUCUGCACUAUGCCUUUUUAUUUUUCUUCAUCCCCCAGAAAACCCACACACAAUCUCAUUAAGAAAAAAAAAAAUCCAUGCUCCAUCUCCCUGCAUCUCUUACCUCUUCUCUUGCAAACAUAUGAAAGACUAAGGAAAAAUUGCGUUUGAGGUGAGCAGUAGUUGUGCAGAGGAGCUUUACUUGGAAAGUUUGCAGCAUCAAAUAGAAAGUGAUCUUAUGCCAAGUGCCCGAUGUGACCAAAGUGAUUCUUAUGUUCCUGAGGACUUGAAAGAGAGCAUUUAAAUUCUCAAGAUGGUAACCAAACUCUCAAAGACAUGAAUUGUAUGGUUGCUUUUCAUAAGGGUUUGACAACAUGGGCUAAGUGGGUGGAUUCUACUAUGAAUCAUAGUAAAACCAAAGUCAUCUUCCAAGGAAUUUCUCUUACCCACUACCAUUAAGUUUACUUCUUUCCCAUCACCAAUUUCUUUUUUUAAAAACCAAAAAUUAAUUUCGUGAAUUUCUCUUAUGCUUUUUUUUUUUUUCCUUUUCAU